rnacentral:lncRNA from 1 species
GCGCUGCUGGCGGCCGGAGGUAGGGGCGUCCCGGGUCCGCCGCCCCAGCUUAGGGUCCCGACCCCCUCGGCCUCGCGCUCCCUGCGAGUUUCGGAACCACGGGGACUCGGAGUCCGUGCGUUGCCCUGCGCGGCGCCCCCGGACUGUCAGCGCCGAGGCCUCGGCGACGCCCCCCUCCCCCACGGCCAGCUCCGGUCCUCAUCUCCUCCCCGGCCUGGGGACUUGUUUCAAAACCGGAUUCCCCCACCCCUCAAACACACCGUCCUACCCCAGUCCUAGCAAAUCCAGCCGGCUCCGGGGGCCGCAUCCCGGGCCCUGGGGGUUCAGGGGCGCUAGCUGGGCUGGGGGACGCUGGCUGGGGGUUACCGAGCCCAGGGCGCCUUGCACUUGACGCUGGAAGCGCCCUCGGCUAUCUUUCCUCACCGCUUCCCGCCUCCACCCCCAGUGGACGCGGAUGUCCUCCUGGAGGCCUGCUGUGCGGACGGACACCGGAUGGCCACUCAUCAGAAGGACUGCUCGCUGCCAUAUGCUACGGAAUCCAAAGAAUGCAGGAUGGUGCAGGAGCAGUGCUG